rnacentral:lncRNA from 1 species
UUCCAACAGGCUCCAACAAUGCCAAUGCUCUUGUCCUGGGCUGAAAUCACUGAGCUCAUGUCCUGGAAUAUGUGAAUCACCCAGUAAACAUCAGCUGUUGGUACUGUGACUUCCAGAAACCUCUUUGAUUUUAAUUAAAAUUGCCUCCACAGACUGCUGAACUGUGAGCCAUCAAGCUUCCUGUACAGCCAGUGGAACCAUAAGCCAAUUAAACCUCUUUUCUUUGUAAAGUACCCCGUCUCAG